UGUAGAAUUUGAUGUGCUCAUCUGUAGGGCAUUGCCUUACCUAAGUUGCUCACUGCAUUUUUUUAAGCAAUAUUCCUUAAGUGGCAGCUUGCCCAGACCAAAGCAGUAUGCUAAUUUCAUCUUCAUUACAGGUAUAUUGUAAGUGGGCAUAACGGAUAUAAAAUACAUGAAACCAGGAUUUCUCCAAGGUACCGAUAAAAAUCUUUUUGCCCUAAAAUCACCGGUGAAACAUAAAAACAAGAAUCCAGCUGAUGUUCAAAACAUCUAAAAAUCUUGCUGUCUGACAGCUGUUGAGUGGGCUCCUGCAAAAUUAUUUGGAUAGCCCAAUAUGGACACAUAUCCACGUCUGUGCAAGCAUCAGAACUGACAUCUUUUAUCCUCUCCACCAGAAGUUCAAGGACCUAGUGUGCUCCCUCCAAAAAAAGGAUCACAUUUAAAGCAUAUGGGUUAUAUCCACAUCACACAAACACAGUGUCCUGUAGAGAUGCAAACAGCAGCUGCAGUCCUGAAAGCAGCCUGCUCUGUUAGUUCAGCAUUCUGACCAGACUAAUAAACCUUGCCUCUCAGCAUUGCUAAUGAGCUCCAGCAGAGCACCGCGCUAACACAGUGACACUACAGCUAGCCCACUUAUCUCCACACAUUGCUGCACUGUACCACGUAGAUAGAUGAAGAGAUGGAAUAGAGAAGACUGCAGUGAACUGCCAGUUCUGUAUCUGUUCUGUGGCUAAAGAGAGAAUUUCAUUUUGGGUGCUGUCAGCCUCAUAACGUACAUAAGCUCUGAAUUCACUUGGAGAGGAAAAGUUGGGGGGGGGGGGGGGUAACAGUCCAACCUGGCAUCCCAUGCAGCUUGACAAGAGAAGUACAGUUCUCUUCUGAAGCAGAAGCUUGGCUGGGGAGCCUGUAAUUAAGAUGAACCUUUCACAGCAAAGUAUGUUAUGGCAAUAUUACUCAAAUUGCAGCUACUGAGAACCAAGUGGGCUAUAAUUAAUCAGCAUCAUCAAAGAAAAGGGAUGAUUUCAGAAUCCUUGCAGAGGUACUGUAAACAAUUUGUUAGGGAAGAGAGUGCCCAAUUAGAAAUGCAUUCUCGUUUAGGAGGAAUUAAUUUUGUUGUCAAGAGAGACAACUAAUGGUGACUACUGGGUUUCAUACCAAGUGCAGAUAAUCUCUCAUGAAAUGUCUGGACAGGACUCAACGUUUGGAAUAACUCACGUCAUAAGGAACUAUCUUUAUCUUCCUCUGAGAUAGAUAAAUGCUGAUAUUUAGUCUGUGGCAAGCUGGACUGAUAUUCAUCACCAGGGCCUCUUCAUUUCUUCAUACUUCAUUGCUCCAUUCUUGACAGCACUUCAGAUAAAUAUAAUAAACAGAUUAAUUUUUGUUCUUGUUGUUCAAAUAAUUGUGACACUCAGUGGUGUAAUUGAUAAGAUAUUCUUGCUAUUUUUACUUUCCUUUUAAUUUCUUCCAGGUAUUCAGUCUUCACUUAGCCGCAGAGCUUACUACAUGAUGCAUUAUUGAAACAGAAGAGAAGCUGGGGGUUAUCGACUCAUGUUUGAGGUUUCUGCCAAGAGAAAGGAAUGAGUCCUGCCUCCUUUUAGACAAGGGGAAUGGCAAGACAUUUCAGAUGUGGGGGAGCCUUGAUCUUCAGUGCUAUUUCUUUCCUAUUGUUGCCUGAAUCAGAAUCUCCCACUACAUCCAACAAUAGCGCUGCUCUCCCAGAGUGACAGAAGCGCACAGAUUGAAAACGCUGCUGAAAAGAUUGUUGGAAGAUAGGGAAAACCCAUCUAAGCUUUGCCUAAGUGGCAAAAAGGAAGGAGAUGCUCUUUGGGCACAGUAGCAAGAACAUAGGAAAGUUUCUAAUGUUCAUCAUUUGCUUAAAGCCCAAACAAGAUUCUGUUAUGGUAAACUAAAGCACUGCAGUAUUGUGA